AUUGAACGCUGGCGGCAGGCCUAACACAUGCAAGUCGAACGGUAACAGGGAUCAGCUUGCUGAUUCGCUGACGAGUGGCGGACGGGUGAGUAAUGUCUGGGAAACUGCCUGAUGGAGGGGGGUAACUACUGGAAACGGUAGCUAAUACCGCAUAACGUCGCAAGACCAAAGAGGGGGACCUUCGGGCCUCUUGCCAUCGGAUGUGCCCAGAUGGGAUUAGCUAGUAGGUGGGGUAACGGCUCACCUAGGCGACGAUCCCUAGCUGGUCUGAGAGGAUGACCAGCCACACUGGAACUGAGGCACGGUCCAGACUCCUACGGGAGGCAGCAGUGGGGAAUAUUGCACAAUGGGCGCAAGCCUGAUGCAGCCAUGCCGCGUGUAUGAAGAAGGCCUUCGGGUUGUAAAGUACUUUCAGCGGGGAGGAAGGGAGUAAAGUUAAUACCUUUGCUCAUUGACGUUACCCGCAGAAGAAGCACCGGCUAACUCCGUG
rnacentral:rRNA from 1 species